GGUUUAAGGGUGGUCUGGCUGUGACAUCUGUCACCCCAUGAAGGCCAGGCUUGAUUCAUGAGAUCUGUCUGUCUAGGUGGGUGUCCCCUUCUUCCCUCACCACACCCAAAGGUCCAAAUUUGUUCAAAUAGGAAGCCCUAGCCCAGAUGGAGGAGGACCAGUCUUGAGUCAUAGGUAUACAAGUAGCUGCACUUCCCUGCUAGAACCUCCACACAAGUUCUCAAGGGUAUCUUUUAGUGUGUGUCUUCACACAAUUCCCACUCUCAAGGCACUCCUCUU
rnacentral:snRNA from 1 species